rnacentral:misc_RNA from 1 species
GAUGAAGAACGCAGCGAAAUGUGAUAACUAAUGUGAAUUGCAGAAUUCAGUGAAUCAUCGAGUCUUUGAACGCACAUUGCGCCCCCUGGUAUUCCGGGGGGCAUGCCUGUCCGAGCGUCAUUGCUGCCCUCAAGCCCGGCUUGUGUGUUGGGUCGCCGUCCCCCUCUCCGGGGGGACGGGCCCGAAAGGCAGCGGCGGCACCGCGUCCGAUCCUCGAGCGUAUGGGGCUUUGUCACAUGCUCUGUAGGAUUGGCCGGCGCCUGCCGACGUUUUCCAACCAUUCUUUCCAGGUUGACCUCGGAUCAGGUAGGGAUACCCGCUGAACUUAAGCAUAUCAAUAAGCGGAGGA